rnacentral:rRNA from 1 species
UCGACGGAGAGUUUGAUCCUGGCUCAGGACGAACGCUGGCGGCGUGCUUAACACAUGCAAGUCGAACGAGAAGCCGGAGCUUGCUCCGGUGGAAAGUGGCGAACGGGUGAGUAACACGUGAGAAAUCUGCCCUAGAGACCGGGACAACCAUCGGAAACGAUGGCUAAUACCGGAUACCCCCAUUCGACCGCCUGGUCGGGUGAGGAAAUGCUCAGGUGCUCUAGGAGGAUCUCGCGGCCUAUCAGCUUGUUGGUGGGGUAACGGCCUACCAAGGCUUCGACGGGUAGCUGGUCUGAGAGGACGAUCAGCCACACUGGGACUGAGACACGGCCCAGACUCCUACGGGAGGCAGCAGGAGGGAAUAUUGCGCAAUGGGCGAAAGCCUGACGCAGCGACGCCGCGUGGGGGAAGAAGGCC